GGUUUGUAGCUCAGUGGUUGAGUGUUUGCCUCUCAUGUAUAAGGCACUGGGUUCAAUCCUUAGCACCA
rnacentral:tRNA from 1 species